CGUCAGUUUCAAGCCCUCUAACCUACUGGUUCUUGAUUGAUCCAUAAUGACAGAAGACUAUUAGGUGGCUAUUCGAGUACUGACUGCUAACAUUUCCUCUCAUCAUUGCGCUUCGUGCUCUCUAUUGGAAGCCCAGCAUGGUGGAUUCGCUUGUGUUGUGAAUAUGAAAGAAAGGAAUAUUAAUUCUCCUCUCAGACGCAUUUUAGCAAACUGUGCAGCACAGGCAAAGGAAUAUGGGAGCUGUAUUGCAGCAAAGAUUCCAGAAAUUGAAAAAGACAUGUGUUUGAAAGAAUUUCUUGCAUUGAAGACUUGCAUGCAAAAUAUGAAAAGGGUGUAAUACAUACUCUCUUCAUCAGUCUUUGAAGAUGCUCACUGAGUGCUCCAAGGAGUAUCUUUAAAGUUUGGAGGCAAUUGUUGGAGUUACAGACAGUUU